GAUGAACGCUAGCGGCAGGCUUAACACAUGCAAGUCGAGGGGUAUAGUUCUUCGGAGCUAGAGACCGGCGCACGGGUGCGUAACGCGUAUGCAAUCUACCUUUUGCAGAGGGAUAGCCCAGAGAAACUUGGAUUAAUACCUCAUGGUAUGUGAGAAUGGCAUCAUUUUCACAUUAAAGUCACAACGGCAAAAGAUGAGCAUGCGUCCCAUUAGCUAGUUGGUAAGGUAACGGCUUACCAAGGCAACGAUGGGUAGGGGUCCUGAGAGGGAGAGCCCCCACACUGGUACUGAGACACGGACCAGACUCCUACGGGAGGCAGCAGUGAGGAAUAUUGGACAAUGGGCGCAAGCCUGAUCCAGCCAUGCCGCGUGCAGGAUGACGGUCCUAUGGAUUGUAAACUGCUUUUGUACAGGAAGAAACACUGGUUCGUGAACCAGCUUGACGGUACUGUAAGAAUAAGGAUCGGCUAACUCCGUGCCAGCAGCCGCGGUAACAC
rnacentral:rRNA from 1 species